CGUGUAUAAGUAUAGUGUUUUAGCUAGGGUUUAAUGCCGUAAGGAGACAUCAUGAACAUGGCAAUUCCUAUAAAGGAAAAUUACUAAUUGGUGCUGUCUUACUGUUUCUGAGAAUUAGUUCAUUUUUGUCAUAACAGGAAACAUGUCAGUGUGCUGGCAGAUAUGGUGUUUGAGGAGCUGAGAAUUGUACAUCUUGAUCAAUAGGCAGCAAGGUGCUCAUGAUGACUUACUAGUCCUAAGCUUAGAGCAGCUGGGAAUUUACAGUCCUGAAAAUUAAAGGUUGUUACCAAAUUGAAUAGCCAUUGGUUCUACAGCCGUUAUAAUGAUCUGAAAAUUUCAAGGUGUUGCAUGAACACUUUUGUGAAUCAUUAUAACAGAACUCAGCUAAUUGGAUAGAGACUAGAAUGUUGGUUGGAAGACAAUUAUUUUACAUAGAUUUUCUCAUUGCUGCUGUUGCAUUAACCCAAGAAGUGGAGACAGUACUACAUGGAUAAGAAUUGUAUGAUUGAAUUGACAUUGGAAUCUUCUCAGUGUUUUCAUAAAAUAUUCACUGUAUAUAGUCAAUAUUUUCCUCAGAGUUGGUGCUUACAAGUUCUUGUCAAGUUGGAAAAAGUCACUUUUACUUUUAUUUGCAUCACAUUUAAUAGAUUAGAGACUAGAUUGCUUUAAAUUGAGUCUUCAUAUACAACCUCAAGGUGGUGAACAUCUUUACAUGGACAUCAAAUAUGCCUUUCUGAAGAGGCUUCAUCUACAGCAUCUCCCAAAUACCAUUAUAUAUUUAUUGAUUCUGGAGUAUUAAUUUACCUUUAUCAUCUUACAACUUGUAUAGAAGAUCUCCAAGGAAUAAAAAUGACCUGCUCUUGGCAAGUAAUUGCCUGAAAUGUUCAGUACUUCUGUUUUCAGUAUAUCUUGGACUCACAUAUUGUUUGUUGCAUAUUAUCAUUUAUUCAUAUUUUAAUUUGCAAAUGAAAUAAACUUUCUAAGUGUGUUGCAUAGCUAAUGAAUAUAAACAUUUUAUGAUACUUUGGAUUAUAAAAAAGUAUUUCUGACUAAUUGAAUCUCCCUCUAUAUCAGUUUUGUUAUCAUUUGUGAGAUGGCUUCCUCCUCCUUUGAAUAAGAAAUUCAGAUUUUAGGCAGGCCCCAAAGAAGAUUGUUUGGCACUGUGGUGUUCUUUAGAGAAGAUUCUCUGGUGCCAUUUUUGCUGAUAUUACUAGUCUUUGUCUAGGGCAGAAACGUAAGUCUCUAUGGUUUGCUUUUUCUCCAAUACUACUACUGGAGACUUUCAUGCCCUUGUAACUGAGAAAUGUCCUUACAUUGAUAAGGAGAGCCAUUGUAGAAUGUGUAGCAUCAUAUUUUCAUUGAUAUCACUUUUCAGGUUUGAAUUAAAUCUCACUAUUUCAAAGUGAUUUUACUUUACUCUGUAAUGUGGUUUUUUUUCCUCCUUAAACUAAGUAAAAUAAUAUGAAGUAGUGCUUAUUUUCAAUAUUAGUUGUCUGUUUCUAUCAGUUCAUUUGAAAAUGACUAUCUACAUUUCUCAACCUGUUUUAAUAAUUAUAAGAGUGAAAAUAAUUGGUAUGAAUUUCUAAAGUGUGUCGGUAUGUAUGUCUGCAUGUGUGUAUGUGCAUGUCAGGUGUCUAUAGAGGUCAGAAAUGAAAAUCAGGAUUAUAUAAUAAUUAUUUUUUGAAUGUUUACAUUGUUUACUAAUACAUUAUUUAAUAGGUGCCAGUAAGAAAGCUCAAUGGAAAAAGCCAAUUGGCAACUCCAGUUGGAUUACUGCAACCCAGGUUAUAUGUAAAACAGAAUAUAGCUGAGAACAGAACACUUCGGGGAUUUUUAAUCUCAUAGAUUUGAAGUAUAACCCAUAUCUCCUUACUCAUUAUAUUAUUAUUAUAUUUUAGCUAUAUCCUGAGAUGUGUCCUGGGUUCUUUUUAUAAUGCUUAUUUAUUUUAUAUGCAGUAUUGAUAUUUUUUGUUAUUGUUGUUUUAGUUGCAAGGUUAAAUUAGUGUAUUUCAAUUAGUCUCUCAGGCCAGGCAGUGGUGGCACACGCCUUUAAUCCCAGCACUUGGGAGGCAAAGGCAGGCAGAUUUCUGAGUUUGUGGCCAGCCUGGUCUACAGAGUGAAUUCCAGGACAGCCAGGGCUAUACAGAGAAAUCCUGUCUCGAAAAAACAAACAAAAAAAUCAAUUAGUCUCUCAUGUUAACAUUUUCUGAGGUCAGAUUGAUUGUGACUCUAAUCAGACACCACUGCAACUUAUCAGUUUAUGUUAAGCGCCACGAAACUUUGUUAAACUUUAGAUUUACAGUCCAUAUUUUAGAAAUUAGGAAUUUGUUCUGUAGUACAAAAAUGCUUAAGGCUAAUCAUUAAACUAUGUUCCCAUGAAUAUUUGCAAUACAAAAGUCUUGAGCUAUAUUUGGAUUUUAGUAGAUAAUUGUCUAACCCAUAGCCAACUUUUUAGGUCUUGUUUCAUCAAGACAAUCUUUGGUAGAUUUAGAAGUAGAAGGUACAAAAAGAGUAUGUUUCCUUGUACAUGUUGCUGAAUGCCCUACAUCAGUGGUUCUCAACCUCUGGGUUCCAACCGCUUUGUGAGUUGAACAAAUCUUUCAAAGGAGUCACUUCAGAUAUUUUAUAUUACAAUGCAUAACAGUAACAAAAUUACAGUUACAAAAUAAUUUGAUUAUAGGAGGUGCCUACUAUGUUAAGAGAUUUGUUAAAGGACUGUCAUAUUAACCAUUUUAAAGUUAGUUGUUUUAGUACAUUUUAAUAUCAACAUCUACUGUUAUUAAAGAAUUCUGUGGUCAUGCAUUGCUAAUCUGCUAUUCCAGUUCCAUAGCAGCUUAUAAGAGAUCAACUUUCAUGGUGUAUAUACUAGUCAGUUAUUUUCUUAUGUUUAUAUGAAUGUACAUGGAGAUUUUAGAUGUAAAAUCUUUGUAUUAAUGAUUUUUCCAUUUCAUAUAUCAUAUUGGUUUACAGAUUGUGUUUGCUGCUACAUGUGAUGUUGAUAAUAUGUACAAUUAUAUAAUUAUGAUAAUAUUUUUGAGUUCCUACUUAUAUAAUAAUUUUCUAGGUAUGGUAAUAUUAGGUCAUCAUCUGUAUAUGUCUUUGGUUUCUGUCAAUAUUGUGAAAUUGCUUGCAAAUGUUUUCUGGGUUAAGCCAGAGUAGUGGUUUAAUAUAGUGCUAAUUUUCAUAGAUUUGCCUUUACUAAAUUUCAAUGGGUUUGUAAAUAAAAGCCAAUCUAAUAGGUGAAAUAAUAUUUUUAAAGCCCAAAUUAAGACUAAUUUAAAUGCUUAAUGGCCAUGAUUUUAUAAAACUAAAUAGAAUUUUAGUAGUAGAAACAACUUAAAGUUUCCAAAUUUUGCUAAGUUUAGUGAUACAGCUAAGGUUACAUAGUGAUACCUUGCUCAAUGUUUACAUUUUUUUCACAAAUUGCUUGAGUAUGCACUAUGGUAACAAGUUUUUUUUCCCUAUUUUAUUUUGUUGUAAUUAUAGAACCAUAUGCUUUUUUAUAGUCUGACUUAUCCUCUGCAUUCCUUUCACUUAUCAUUUCCCUUAUUCUUUCUGUCCCUGUUCUUCUCAUCUUAUUUCUGUUAACACAUGUUGCUUUGUUUUCUGAACUGUGUUUUCAUUUAAGAUAUGCUGUUCAAGUUGGCCAACAUUUUUCUGUAGGUAUUUUAUAAAAGUUCCUUUAAACUUGGCUUAAAGUUUAAGAACUGCUGAUUGUCUUGUUCAACUCUAACAUUAUAGUACAAUGUAAUAUGUUAUAAUAUAUUACAUUACUGUAAGGAUUAUAUUAUAUUAUACUAUAUUAUAUAGUUAUCCCCUAGAUUUCUGUUUCUUUUCUAAUGAGAGAAAGAAAGGGGUGGUUCUAUUUGGAAAAGUAAUGAGAGAUGAAAUAUAAUUAGAGGGAGGAGAAAAAUAAUUAUUAUAUGUUAUGUGAGAAAAUAUCUAUAAAAGAAAGCAGAAUAAAACUUAAUAUCAUAAUCUUGAUAUCUAGUUUGAAAGUAUACCCUAUGCAUUCUUUAUAUUUACAUUUCCUUAGUUGGUUUAGUCUUGUUUUCUUCUGUGGGAUCGAACAGUAUUUGCAAAAGCCAUGUCUAUCUCAUAUUAUUUAGUCAGAAUCAAUUCUAUAGACUACUUUGGUUCUUCAUAACAUUGACUUUCUUGAAAAAUAACACCUUUCAGGUUUCAAGAGCCCCCAGCUUCUGAUUUUUUCUUAUAAAAUGAUUGAGGAUAUAUAUUUGUCAUAGGAAAACUUCAGAAUAAAUGUGUGUUCAAUAAAUCAUGUCAAGUUUCAAUGUUUAUUGUCCCAAAAUUGAUGAUUAUUAGUUUAAUUCAAAGUGAAAAUUUUCUCCAAUGUUAAUGUUCUUUCUAAAUAAACAUUACAUACAAUGACCAUUUGAAAUUUUAUAGAUCUCUUUAUAAUCAAACUUUAACCCUAUCAAAUUAAAUGUUUCUUGUGUUUCUAUUUUUGAAUACCAUAAGAAAAUGUCACAUCAGAUUUUCUGUGAAAACCUGGUAGAACUCUUCUGUGAAUAAAUCUGAGCCGGGCCUUUUUAAAAUUUUUGUUUAUCUGUUUUUAUAUAAUACAUUUUGAUAACAGUUUUCCCUCUCCUAAAUCCUCCCAUAUCUCUUGCAAUCAAAUUGAGGUUGUUUC